AAAAAUAAAGGAAAAAAAAAAAAACUGACAAACUCUUUUUCUCUCCUUCCCUCUGGCAGGAUUUCCCGUUUGCUCCAUUAAAGGAGAUAUGACAGCGACGAGAGGCACACAAAGCCACAAGGGGGGAGAGGGUGGGCGCUCCGAAGCCAAUGGCAUUGCAAUGCUUAGAGAUCUUGCAACCUAAACUACUGGACAAAAAAAAACCUAAGGUUGGCAUUAGCAGGGAAAAAAAAAAAAAGAAAUC
rnacentral:misc_RNA from 1 species